rnacentral:misc_RNA from 1 species
GUAUGUAAGGUAGGGUCUCAAAGUUUUACCCUUGCAUUUAUGGUUUAUCAUUAGUGUCUACUUUUGGAUUCUGUUGUUUCAUAUUGCAUGAAACUGUGAUUCACUGACAUUAUACUAUUUCUAAUUUCCUAUAUUUUGUUUUUCCUUAAUUCUAUUUUUUUUAUUUUUAUACCAUGCGUGUACCUUGUGUUUUAUGGAUGGCACAAUUAGACACCAAGGUGUAUU